CUAACCUGCUAAAUAGUACGUUUGCAAUUUUUAUGUGGACCUCUGUCCUUGUGCCUCUGGCGCUUGGAUAGAACCAUAUAAGCAGGUGAAACUUCUUAGAGGAACUGGCGCCCGAAAAGGCGCACGAGAAAGAGCAAUAACAGGUCUGUGAUGCCCUAAGAUGUCCGGGGCCGCACGCGUGCUACAAUGACGAUGCUACUGAGCAUGAUUUACUUGUCCGAAAGGAUUGGUGAAACUGUUCAAUCAUCGUCGUGACUGGGAUUGGGGUUUGCAAUUGUCCCCCAUGAACCAGGAAUUCCUAGUAAGCACAAGUCAUAAGCUUGUGCUGAUUACGUCCCUGCCCUUUGUACACACCGCCCGUCGCUACUACCGAUUGAAUGGUUUAGCAAGGACAUUGGAUUGAGCCCUUGCGGUUUCGGCUGCUUGGGUUUGAGAAGAUGUCCGAACUUGAUCAUUUAGAGGAAGUAAAAGUCGUAACAAGGUUUCCGUAGGUGAACCUGCGGAAGGAUCAUUA
rnacentral:rRNA from 1 species